CUAGUAACGGCGAGUGAACCGGGAAGAGCUCAAAUUUGAAAUCUGGUGCCCUCUGGGCGUCCGAGUUGUAAUCUAUAGAGAUGCUUUCCGUGCCGGACCGUGUCCAAGUCCCUUGGAACAGGGUAUCAGAGAGGGUGACAAUCCCGUACUUGACACGACGACCGGUGCUCUGUGAUACAUCUUCUACGAGUCGAGUUGUUUGGGAAUGCAGCUCAAAAUGGGUGGUGAGUUCCAUCUAAAGCUAAAUAUUGGCGAGAGACCGAUAGCGAACAAGUACCGUGAGGGAAAGAUGAAAAGCACUUUGGAAAGAGAGUUAAACAGUAUGUGAAAUUGUUGAAAGGGAAACGAUUGAAGCCAGUCGUGUCUGGGGCGCUCAGCCGGUUCCGCCGGCGUAUUCCCCCCAGAUGGGUCAACAUCAGUUUUGUCCGGUGGAUAAGGGCGGCGGGAAGGUGGCACCUCCGGGUGUGUUAUAGCCCGCCGCCGCAUGCACCGGGUGAGACUGAGGAACGCAGCUCGCCUUCAUGGCCGGGGUUCGCCCACGUUCGAGCUUAGGAUGUUGAUGUAAUGGCUUUAAACGACCCGUCUUGAAACACGGACCAAGGAGUCUAACAUAUCUGCGAGUGUUUGGGUGUCAAACCCGGGCGCGUAAUGAAAGUAAACGUAGGAGGGAUGCGCAAGCAGCACCUUUGACCGGUCCGGAUCUUCUGUGAUGGAUUUGAGUAA
rnacentral:rRNA from 1 species